rnacentral:rRNA from 1 species
AAUCAACGCUGGCGGCGUGCCUAACACAUGCAAGUCGAACGAGAAAGAGGGGGCAACUCCUCGAGUAAAGUGGCGACCGGGUGAGUAACACGUGACUAACCUACCCUUGAGUGGGGAAUAACCUUCCGAAAGGAGGGCUAAUACCGCAUAACAUCGCGAGGCGAGAUUCCUUGUGAUCAAAGGAGCAAUUCGCUUAAGGAGGGGGUCGCGGCUGAUUAGCUAGUUGGUGAGGUAACGGCUCACCAAGGCGAUGAUCAGUAUCCGGCCUGAGAGGGCGCACGGACACACUGGAACUGAAACACGGUCCAGACUCCUACGGGAGGCAGCAGUGGGGAAUUUUGCGCAAUGGGGGAAACCCUGACGCAGCAACGCCGCGUGGAGGAUGAAGGUCUUUGGAUUGUAAACUCCUUUCGAUCGGGACGAUUAUGACGGUACCGGAAGAAGAAGCACUGGCUAACUCUGUGCCAGCAGCCGCCGUAACAC